AGAAACUUCAGUACUUUAAAGCUAAUAUCUUGAAAGAUUUUAGAAGUGCAGCAAGAUGGUACUCACACCUAAUGAAAAGGUCUUAGUGAAAAUCAUUUUACAAUUUACAACAUUUGCGUUGUUCUUUACAAAUGUUGUUUCCAUUCCAUGCAAGACAAUUAAUCCAGAAUUAUUUUGACCACAAAUUUUUCUUCCUAAUUAAUUGGCCAAACACAAUGUAAAUAAAAUAGGAAAUGCUUCAGUUAAUAUUUACUAUAUAAACAAACAAACAGAUAGUGGGAUAAUGGUUUUAUCUAUCACCAUAUUCUAGAAUUGUGCCUGGCAUUCAGUAAGCACCUAAUGGAUUAACAAAUAUGUACUUGUAGAUGUCUGCAGACCAAGGUGAAUUUAGUGAAUAUCAAAAACUUCUUGAGUGCUCCAUCGUAACGCCAUUUAUCUUGACAUAAACUGCAAAGAUGGCUCAAAUGUCGAUAAGGAUAUCAGUUCAGGGUCUCCAGUGGCUGCAGCCUAUCCCAGAAGCUCAGGGUGCAAGGCAAGAAGUAAUCGUGGGACCAGGCGCUGUGGCUCUCGCCUGUAAUCCCAGCACUUUGGGAGGCAGAGGCUGGUGAAUCACUUGAGGUCAGGGGUUCCAGACUAGCCUGGCCAACAUGAUGAAACCUCAUCUCCACUAAAAAUACAAAUAUUAAUUGGAUGUAGUGGUACACGCCUGUAAUCCCAGCUACUCGGGAGGCUGAAGCUUGAACCCGGAGGCAGCGGUUGCAGUGAGCUGAGAUCGUGAUACUGCACUCCAGCCUGGGUGAGGGAGUGAGACUCUCUAAAAAAAAAAAAAAAAAAAGACUAACCAUGGGCAAGACAUCGUCCCAUUGCAGGGUGCACUCACACACACCCACACUCACUCACACUGGAACAGUGUAGACACACCGAUGAACCCAACAUGCACAUCUUUGGGAUACUAGAGUAAACUGGAGUGCUUAGAGAAAACCCAUGAGAACAUAGGAAGAACUUGCAAACUCCACACAGACAGUGGUCCCUGCAGGGUUUUUCUGUUUGUUGGUUGUUUUUCCUUCAUCAAGUUUGUAAUGAAACGAUGUUGAAUGAUAAAAUAUUAUUUGAGGAAUUGUUGUACAAGGAUUUUGGCAUUUGUCUGGAUAUGGAAAUCAAAGACAUUUUAAAGUGAUUAUAAAUCUUUGUACAUGUUGACAAUAUUCAAUUCAGUUAAAGGCUUUAUCACAG
rnacentral:lncRNA from 1 species